AACGAACGCUGGCGGCAGGCCUAACACAUGCAAGUCGAACGCCCCGCAAGGGGAGUGGCAGACGGGUGAGUAACACGUGGGAACCUUCCCUGUAGUACGGAAUAGCCCAGGGAAACUUGGAGUAAUACCGUAUACGCCCGAAAGGGGAAAGAAUUUCGCUAUAGGAUGGGCCCGCGUAGGAUUAGCUAGUUGGUGAGGUAAUGGAUCACCAAGGCGACGAUCCUUAGCUGGUUUGAGAGAACGACCAGCCACACUGGGACUGAGACACGGCCCAGACUCCUACGGGAGGCAGCAGUGGGGAAUAUUGGACAAUGGGCGCAAGCCUGAUCCAGCCAUGCCGCGUGAGUGAUGAAGGCCUUAGGGUUGUAAAGCUCUUUUGGCGGGGACGAUAAUGACGGUACCCGCAGAAUAAGUCCCGGCUAACUUCGUGCCAGCAGCCGCAGUAAUAC
rnacentral:rRNA from 1 species